GCGGCUUGAAUUUGAACAGUAGUAAAACUAGAGGGAUAAUAAUAAAAUUAGUGGUGGAACAUACAAAAUCAGUAAAUGUGAAUUAUUAUUCACAAAAAAAUAAAAUUAAAAAUUGUACAGAUAACAAAGCAUCAAUCCACAAACAACAUAAACAGCAAUAUCUUCCUCAGUCAAUUCCUCGUAUACCACACGCUCCCUCUCCAAAAAUCAAAUAAGUAGUAAUCUCAUACUAAAAUUAUAGAAAAAAAAUUACAUAAUUUGACAUAAUUAAUAAUUAGCAUCACCGGAGAAAUGGCUUUUCCUCAUCCUCAGUUCCGGCAACGAGUGAUAGCGUUGCAGCCGCGCCGGUAGGGAUUGGCCUGCGCGCCGGGGCGGCAAUUAUAGUACGACGCGCCGCGCCGCGAGCAGGGGACGUUGUUCCUCUGCAGCGCUCCGUAGCUGAUGUAGCGGCUCGUCGCUAGGAUGCGCCUGUUGGACUCCGAAUCAAGCUCGAACUCGUCGUCUCCGCCGGCCAGGCACUCGGCGAUGGUCCCCCUGCAGCUGGAUCUCACUACCGGCAUCAUCCAUCCCGCGGCGGAGGGAUCGUGGUCCCCACCUGCCGACGCUUGCAGGAUUAGAAUUGAUGCGAUUAAGCAUAGUGCUAGUAGCAAUUUGUAGGCGGCUGCCAUUUCGAAGCGAUAGCGGUCGAUUCUGAGCACUGAUUUCCGCGGAAUUGUUCUGGAGUAUCGGCAAAGGGGUUUCUCUCUCUUACUUGUUUUGCGGGUGAGGAUGAGAGAGAGAGAGAGGAACGAACAGAGAAAGAAAGUAAAUGCAGAUCGUUGAAUUUUUAUAAUGAAAUAAGAAAAGAGGGCUAAAAUAAUUGAGGAGAAUUCCCCUUUUCUGUAUAUUAUUGUUUUCUUUUUUUGCUCAAGACUCCUUGCUAAGUAAUUACUCCCCCGUCUCACUUUAAUUAGAAUAGACUCGUUUUCAUUUUUGAGUAAAAGGGAAUAUACUUAAUUAGUUUAGUAUAAACUAAAUUAAUUUUCUCAUAAAAAAUAAAUUUCUUAAUAUUCGUGCUCAAAAGAAAUGAGCCAUGAGAAUGAGACUGAAUGAGUACAUAUUAUAUCGUAAAUUGUACUAUAAGGGUGUGUUUGAUUUUUAUUCUUCUAAAUGGAUGGAUAAUAAAAAUUUAUGUUUUUAAAUGUCUCAUUUUGUAUCCCACAUUUUACACAUUUUUUGUGUGAUAAUAUUAUCAUUCCUUGAAGUUACAUAAAGAAGGAAAAAUGGUGAACUUCUCUUUUGUGUAAAAAGUGGAAUAAGAAAUGAGACAUUUAAAGACAUAAAUUUUGUUAUCCCUCUUUUCUCAUCCAUUUUUUUGGUGUGAUAAUAUUAUCCCUCCUUGAAGUGAAAAUAAGGAAGAAAUUGUCACUUCUCUUUUGUGUAAAAUUGGGAUGAGAAAUGAGACAUUUAAAGAUAUAAAUUUUGUUAUCUCUCUUUUCCCAUUCAUCAAAGUGAACACACCCUUAUAUUAUAUGGAAUAUUGGUAUUGUAUUGUAUGUGUAUUUAAUUUAAUAACCAACAUUUAAUAUGUAGAAAAUAAUGGAGCUUUGUAAUAUUACCCUCUCUUUCUUAUUUAAAAACAAUUUUGUAUGGAAUUUUUAGGGGUUCUAGAACAUCCAUUACGAAGUAAUUUUCGUUUUAUAGAUGUUAAUGUGCUGUAUUAAUAUUGAUAUAGAUAUAAAUACUGACAUAUUAAUAAUAAAAUGAAACAUUAAAUACAAGAAAAGAUAUUUAUGAAUUAUGAAUGGAGAUGGAGAGAGCGUUUGUUUUUUAAAAAUUAGGAAAAGUGAAAGUGACCGUUGAGGGGUCAGCCAGCCAGUCGGCCUUAAGUCUUGUGAGCUCCACCUCGCUUCCAUAUUAAAUUGUUUACUUAAUUCUUCACAGAUAUGUUUAUUUUAGUUCUUUUCAAAAUCUCAGAUAAGGAAAUAAGAAUAAAAUCAUCUUAUAAAUAUUUAUAAUCUAUAAUAUUUAAAAAGAUAACUUUCAAAAUCAAUUUUAAAUUAAUUUGAAUGGAAAUUUUAUAAUUUCUUUAAAAAUAAUGAUUUGUUAUAUAUAUAUACAAAGAUUGUAUCAAAUUAACUUAAUUAAAAUUGUAUGUAAUUAGUAACAUAAUUGUCCUAUUGUUGUGCAAAGUGAAAAACUGUUCUUUUCCUUGUUUCUGUUUUUUUCUUUCUCAAAAUCAUGCUAUGUCGUUUAGAAAUUAUAUCUAAUAUGCAUCUUGAAAUGAAGAUUGCAAUAAAAGCAUUUAUUGUACUGAUAUGUGGAAAAAAAAAUAGUUAAAAUGAACAAUUUAUAAACAUUAAAAUUUUAGAACUUAUAUAUACUAUAUAUACGAUUAUAUAUACGAUUUAUACUAUGUAUUUGUCCUUAAUCUUAUUGUUUUCAAUUUCCUCAUUUAUUUUUAAUUAUGUACUAUUUUUUUAAUUUUUAAAAUAAUGAAUUUCUAUUUAUUUUAAUUAAAUUCUAUGUAUUUUAUUUUUUUAACUGUNAUGCGCCUGUUGGACUCCGAAUCAAGCUCGAACUCGUCGUACUCCGCCGGCCAGGCACUCGGCGAUGGUCCCCCUGCAGCCGGAUCUCACUGCCGGCAUCAUCCAUCCCGCGGCGGAGGGAUCGUGGUCCCCACCUGCCGACGCUUGCAGGAUUAGAAUUGAUGCGAUUAAGCAUAGUGCUAGUAGCAAUUUGUAGGCGGCUGCCAUUUCGAAGCGAUAGCGGUCGAUUCUGAGCACUGAUUUCCGCGGAAUUGUUCUGGAGUAUCGGCAAAGGGGGUUUCUCUCUCUUACUUGUUUUGUGGGUGAGGAUGAG
rnacentral:lncRNA from 1 species